CACCAGGGCGGCGGUGGCGCUGGUGGAGGUACAGCUGCGGUGACCCUGCCCGGAGGCUUCAUCCUUGGCCGAGCGAGAUGGAGGAGGCUGGUUACUCCUUGGGAAUGGCUGACAUCUCCUAUCUGCCCAGCUCAGUGGAUUAUACACGUGGGAGGCUAAAGAACUGCGCCGAAGAAUGGGGUGAGCGCUUCUCCAGCCCGGCCGUCUCUACAUCUUCUACACUGAAGUGGAAGGAGACCUUGCUGAGCCGUAAGCGUCCGUUCGUGGGCAGGUGCUGCUACGUGUGCUCGCCUCAGAGCCGGGAUAAGUUUUAUAAUCCCAGUAUUCCUUCCUUGGGCCUACGCAAUGUUAUCUACAUCAAUGAGACCCACACGCGGCACCGCGGCUGGCUGGCUCGUCGCCUCUGUUACGUGCUGUUUGUCCAAGAACGAGAUAUCAACAAGAGCAUGUUCUGCAGCAACAUGGCAGAGACGGUGCUGAACCAGAGCAGGGUAUUACAAGCCAUUGAAGAAGUCGCUGCAGAGAACAGUCCCACGGGCACAGCGGACCCCAAGUCUACCAACAAGGUGAAGAGAAAAGCCAGGAAAAGUCUGCAGGAGAUGGUCGCCUGCAUAUCGCCAGCAAUGAUCCGACUGACCGGUUGGGUUCUUCUGAAACUCUUCAAUGGCUUCUUCUGGAAUAUUCAGAUUCAUAAGGGUCAGAUGGCGAUGGUGAAGAAGGCGGCCUCCGAGAUGAAGGCUCCUCUCAUCUUCCUUCCCGUUCACAAGUCGCACAUCGACUACCUGCUGAUCACCUUCAUCUUGUUCUGCCAUAACAUCAAAGCCCCGCACAUCGCUGCUGGGAACAACCUGAACAUCCCAAUCUUUAGCACCUUGAUUCAUUUGUUGGGCGGAUUCUUCAUCCGACGGAAACUGGACGAGACCCCAGAUGGCAAGAAGGAUGUCCUGUACCGCUCCCUGCUGCACGGGUACAUCGAGCAGCUCCUGUGCCAGCAGCAGUUCCUGGAGAUCUUCUUAGAGGGGACGCGUUCCCGGAGCGGGAAGACGUCGUGCGGCAGGGCGGGUCUGCUGUCCGUCAUCGUGGACACCCUGUGCAGCAGCUCCGUCCCCGACGUGCUCAUCAUCCCCGUGGGCAUCUCCUACGAUCGGAUCAUAGAAGGACAUUAUAACGGCGAGCAGCUGGGGAAGCCGAAGAAAGACGAGAGCCUGUGGGGCAUCGCCAAGGGGGUCCUGCGCAUGCUGCGGAAGAACUAUGGCUGUGUCCGCAUUGACUUUGCGCAGCCCUUUUCCCUCAAAGAGUAUCUGGAGAGUCAGAGGCAGAAGCCGAGCCCCGCGCCCCUGUGUCUGGAGCAGGCGCUGCUGCCAGCCAUCCUCUCCUCCAGACCGACUGACGCGUUGGCCGAGAGCAUGGUGAGCGCCACCCCAGAGCUGUGGGCGGACGGCCCCAUCCGGAGACAGGUCAUCACCAACCUGGCCAACCACGUCCUGUUCACCGCAGACCAGUGCUGUGCCGUCAUGUCUACCCACAUUGUCGCCUGUCUGCUCUUGUACCGCUAUCGGGAGGGGGUGAGCCUCUCCGUGCUGGUGGAGGACUUCUUCUCCAUGAAGGAGGAGGUCCUGGCCCGGGACUUUGACCUGGGAUUUUCUGGCAGCUGCGAGGACGUGGUCAUGCACGCCAUCCACCUCCUGGGGAACUCCGUGAUCAUCACCCACCCCGGACCCAGCAACGAGUUCUUCAUCGCCCCCAACACCAACAUCCCCGCCGUGUUUGAGCUCAACUUCUACAGUAACGGGGUCCUUCACGUCUACAUCACCGAGGCCAUUGUGGCCAGCGCUCUGCAUGCAGAGCUGAAAAGGAGGACGACUGACCUGACUUUAGGAGCCUCCGAGGGAACCAUCAGCCAAGAGAGACUGCUCCGCACCGCCGCCGCCUUGUGUUACCUGCUCUCCAAUGAAGGAAUGAUUGCUCUGCCUUGUCAGAUGUUCUACCAGGUGUGCCACGAGGCGGUGCAGCGGCUGAUCACGUACGGGGUCCUCUUGGUGGCCGAGGAAGAUCAGGAGGAUGGGAGUCCGAACCUUGCAGAGUCCACUUGGGACAACAAGAUGGCGGACCAUGUGCGCUGGAGGAGCGAGGAGGAGGAUGAAGACAGCGAUUUUGGAGAGGAGCAAAGAGACCGAUAUCUGAAGGUGAGCCCAGCGCAAGAGCAUCGCAACUUCAUCACGUUCCUGCAGAGACUGCUGGGGCCCAUCUUGGAAGCUUACAGCUCGGCAGCUUCCUUUAUCCAUAACUUCACUGGACCCAUCACAGAACGGGAGUUCACCCAAAAUCUGCACAAAUACCUCCUCGCCAGGACCGAGAGGAAAGUCGCCGUCUACACUGAAAGUGCCACGUUUUGCCUCGCCAGAAAUGCGGUGAAGACCUUUGUGGAUCUCGGGGUCUUUCAAGUUCACAAAGAGAAUCGGAAUAACCUCUUGGACUUGAGCAGCACUUUCUUACCUCAGAGUAAUCGGCACAAACUGCUGGACUUUGUAGUUGCUUUUAUGGUCUUAUAGACCUCACGAGGGCCAAUGACAUCACAAGGCGGCACAGCUCGCUCUGGUUACACUACACACAGGCCCGGCGCCAACUCUGGACAUUACACCUCAACAGACAAGUGCCUGCAACAAAGAAUCCGUGAUCUUCCAGCACCCAAUCAACUGGGACCAGUUGCGCAGAUUUUUUUCCAAAUCUGUAUUACAACUAGUGACCUAAAGGCUCGAGAAACUAAUUUUAGAUAUUGACUAUUUAUGGAAAUGCUGCCUGACGCACACCAGAUAGGAAAUCUUACAAUUUCAAUUUUUUUUUUAUUUUUAUUUUUUUCACAAAUUCCCCCCACCCCCUUCUUAUACCACUACUAUAAUUGCUAUGGUACAAGCGCCUUUAUCCCCUGCUGCAGAUCCCGGCAGGGUGAAUGUAAGGUUUGAAAUUCUGCGUUCCGAUUUAGUUUGUGCGAACUUCUUGAAAAUUGUAUUCCUUCAUUUUGCAGAUGUUUAGUUUUGUUUGUAGCAACCUUAUAGAAUUUAGUGAUGAAAUUUAGGUCCAAUUUAUGAAAUACUAACAGCGUAGUACACAGCUGCUUGGCAUUGGCUCCGACAACAAAAUCUUUAAAUUAAUUCCAAAAAAGUUGGAAAUUUUUGCAAAUAAAUUGAAUGCAAUAUCUUUUUUUUCCCCUUCAUAGAGGGAAUGGUUAGAAAUUGCAUGCAAAGUUUUGAGUUUAUAUUAUUUCGUAUUUGGGGGUGGGGGAUUUAUUGAAAAUAAGAAAAACAAAAAAUGUAAUGUUCAAAGUUAAACAAAAGUAUUUUAGGUUUCAAAUUUAGAAAUUUGUAGCCCUACCGAAUAUAAUGGUCUAACACAAAUGAUAUCGCCAUCUAGUUGUUACGUCGCGACGCAACGCGCGCCUGAUGGCCUCCGUGUCCUGGAACGACUUGCGUUCUAGAAUGCACCAAAAUAGCUUUUUAGAUGUUAACGAAUUUUGCCUGAUUGUAGUCGAUUUUGGAAAAUCCUAAAUGACCUGAAUUUAAAAAAAACGGUAGCGCAGGAGAUGGCGGCGGAAAGAGCGACAUUCCAGCGUUGCCCAUGGACGUAUAGGUUUAUAGGCCCUUUGUCUGAACAAAAUUCUGUAUUUUGGGAUCGGGUACAGAUGCACAAAUUUAUUGGCAGAACUCGCGUUGUUUUGCCCGUUUCAGGUUCGUUGCCGUUUGUCUUGUAAAGUACGAGAAGGAUAAUUUUGCUUUUGUUUUUAUUUUUUUUUAGUUUUAGCCAAUGUAAACAUUUUUUUUUUUUUUUGCUUUAUUGCACAUGAGAAUUUCUUAAUUUUCCUAAAUUUAGUUAGGAAUUGGGUUUUUAGUCAGAGACCACUGCUCUAGAUCUUCAGUCAGUGCCCAAAUGAUCAAGUCCACCUCUGUGUAAUAUUUUAGGUUUUUGGGCAGCAACAAUAGCGGUAUUAUAUGUAGAUAGGGAGGGGCAGGUUAUCUUAAUCUUAUUAAUUUAUUUAGUGUCUGAUGUGGGGCAGGUAGGACUAUAAUAAAGUCCUUAUAGAACCCCCUGCCUGGCUACAGGGCACCCGCAGGGCAAAAAAUGUUAAUAUUCUUAAUUUUUUUAAAUUAGUUUUACUCUUUUCCGAAUUUGCUGUGAUAACAUUAGAUCAGAAAAGUUACUAUAAUUCCGUCAAUGUGUUACAACAAGGUUACAUGAGCAAACUUUCGGGGGGAUAUUAUGGGUUUUUGCCCCUUGAUUUACCCAUUAAGGUCCAUUUCAGCUGAUGGAUAUCUCUACUCAUAACAUCCCCCCCCCCCACAUAUAUAUUUUUUCUUUUACAUCUUUUCAUCCCCUACACAUAUUAACACUCAGCUCAGCCAAGCAUUCUUCUGUUCUUCUGUUACCUUCCUCUAGGCUUCUGCUCCUCCUUCCUUUCAGGCUCCUCUUGUCCCCUCAUUUCAGGCUCCCCUCUCUUCGUGCCAGCGUCCCUGUCCCAUUCUCAUCUUUCCAGGCUAUUCUGCCCCACGCCUUGUAGGCUCCUCUUCCCCACCCCCUCUUCCAGGCAUUCUGCCCCAACCUACCCCCACUUCUCUAGGCUCCUCUACCCCCACUCCCUUCCUUCCAGACUGCUCCUCUUCCCUCCCUUAUGGGCUCCUCCUCUUUCCUCCCUAUGGGCUCCUCCUUUACUCCUUAUGGGCUCCUCCUCUUCCCUAUGAGCUCCUUUUCUGCACUCCUUACGGGCGUCCUCUUGUCCCCUCUCCUUACGGGCUCUGCCUCUUUUCCCCUUUACGGGCUCCGCCUCUUUCCCCUUUACAGGCUCCGCCUCUUUCCCUCCUUAGGGGCGCCCUCUUGUCCCCUGCUUACGGGCUCCUCUUCUUCCAGGCUGUUUUGUCCCCUCUCACCAGAGGAAGUCUGCCUGCGAUCUCCCCCUCAGGGUUUGAGUAACACUUUUGUUGCCAUAAAAGCUUUAACCUUCAGCAGUGGGAGGGGGGGACAGGAGUCAGGGGGGA